rnacentral:lncRNA from 1 species
AGCCAGGCCAUAAAACCCCUGCUUGUCUCUUAGAAAUUUUUAUGCUCUAGUUUUUAUUUCAUUUAGUGAGUACCAGGGCCUGGUGAAGCACACAGGAGGCUGCCACUGUGGAGCAGUUCGUUUUGAAGUUUGGGCUUCAGCAGACUUACACAUCUUUGACUGCAAGUGAGUAUUUUAUCUUCUCAAAUUGGCUUAGAAGAGUUGAAGAGCAAAAUAGGCCAUGUUUCAGACCAAUGUGGGGAGUCGGGGUCUGGAUGAGACAGUGUUGGCCAUGAGCUGAUAACUGUUACAUCAGGUACCGAGGACACAAGGGUUCAUUGUUCUCUUCUUUGCCAUGUGUACAACUAGAAAUUUUCAGUGAUAACUAAAAAAAAAAAAAAAAAGUGUUAUAUGUAAUUCUUUUACUGUGUGCGUAGAUCAGAGGACAACUUGUGGGAUGGAGUCACUAGGCUGGUGGUAGGUACUUUUACCUGCCAAGUCUUCUCACUGGAUAUUUUUUUUUUAGAGUGGGAGAAGGCUAAACAUUCUGAGUUAUUCAGAGUAACACCCUCAGUUUGUGUGUUCGGGAGCCCGUGUGUGUGUGUACCACAGAGUUGUACAGCAGCGCAGUUCAGGAGACAGAAAGCAGGGAUUCCAGGGCUGUGGCUUAUAGGCUCGUGCCUCCUACUGAUCCCACUGACUUAGGGGUGAUUAGCAGAGGUGGAUCAGGCUGCCAGUAAUUCCCGGUUGGGUUACUGGGAAUCCCACCUUGAGUGGAAUCUUCUUAGGAGUCUGUCAGUGAAACUACAUGGAAGUAAUCGGGUGGAGUGUAUUUGCACCUGGAAGCUUUUUGUGUGCUGGAUCUCUCUCUGUCCUUGGCAUGAGGCCCAUGGUACCACCACCAACAGUGGAAGGCUUGCUUCUUGGAUUAUUUAUUUGCUUUAUGUAUGAGUACACUGUAGCUGUCUUCACACACACCAGGAGAUGGCAUCAUAUCCCAUUACAGAUGGUUGUGAGCCACCAUGUGGUUGCUGGGAAUUGAACUCAGGACCUCUGGAAGAGCAGUCAGUGCUCUUAACUGCUGAGCCAUCUCUCCCUCGAAGGCCUGCUUCUUAGCGUCUUCCCUGGCAUUAUAAUAGAAGAGGAACAGGCUUUACCUUCUGGACUGGCUAUGGGCAUGUACUUAUUCAAGAGGGUCCAGUUCUUUUCCCUGUAAUUGUACCUAAAUCUUAUAUGGAUAAUAAAUACCAUAAUUAUUAUUUAUUAUGUAAAUCAUAAAUACCCCUCAAGUGUAGAACUGGCUAGGCCACUAAUGAAGUCCAGAUUUUGAAAGAAGCAUUAUGGCAUAAUUUCUUGGAGAAUUCUAUACUAAGUCAGAAUAAAGUGUAAAUUAGGGCUGAAGGUAGAGCCUUUGGUUAAUAUGUACAAAGCUGGGUUUGAUUCCCACUACUGCAUAAACUUGGCAUGAUUAUAUGCCUGUAGUCCCAGGGGGAGGUAGAGACAGGAGGAUCAGAAGUUCAGGGUUGUGUCCUCAGCUGCAUCAGUGUUUUUGACCAGCUUGUGUACAUGAGACUCUUCUCUCAAGCAAGCAAAGAAGUUCAUGGCCAUCUUCAACUCUAUAGUAAGUGUUGAAGCCAGCCCUGUCUCAAAAAAUAAAACAAGGUUAAAAUUUUAACAUGACCCCUCCCUCUAUCUCAAAGAACAGAAUAAAGUUAAAAAAUUUUUAAACUUACUUCUUUUAUGCAUGUGGAUAUUUUACAUGAAUGCAUAUCUGCACCACAUACCCCCCAGAAUUCAGAGGAGGGUGUUGGAUACCCUGGAACUGUGAGCCACCAGAUGGAUACUGGGAACUGAACCAGAGUCUACUGCUACUCUUACCUAGCGCUCUUAACUGCUGAGCCAUCUAUUGUCCCAAAGUUACAUUUCCUAGAAAAGGUGGAGGUGCACUUGAGAAGUAGAAUGCCUGCUUAGUGCGCUUGAUGCCCUGGUUCAGUGUCCCUAGGGUAGAGAGAGAAAAGCAGACAAAAAUAGUGGGUUGGGAAAAAAACAAAAACUAGGUAUUGGCUCAAUUUCCAGUUUGGUAUUUCCAGGUAAAAUGCUUGGAGCUUGAUUUUCUUAUGUGGAACUAGAGGAAGCCUAAGGCUCCUUCCUCGGUUCUGAUGUGCCCGUCUGAAGAGGCACAAGAGUAUAGCAGUGUCUGAAAUCCAUUUUCUGAGUGUCUUUUAAGUCCACUGUUUCUCUUCAGGGUCGGGAGGGGGGGCAGCAGAAAUGAGGUCCAGGAGUGCUGAAUGCUGUGUGGUCUCCCCUGCUGGCUCUGUCACCAGUAGGCUUCACUGCCAUGAAGAGCUGAGGCUUCAGGUGGCCUGUCCAGCUGCCUAAGUCCUCUUCCCUGGAUGGUGCUGAGAAGGGUGUCCCACUUGAGGUCAGCUGGUUCUGCAGGCAUUGGGCUGGGCUGCUUGGGCCUGUGGGUAAUGCAGAUGACACUCACGGUCCGACCCUUGCUCUCUCUCUAGCUGUAGCAUUUGCAAGAAGAAGCAGAACAGACACUUCAUUGUUCCAGCUUCUCGGUUCAAACUCCUGAAGGUUAGUACUUAGGAGGAGGGUAGAACCCUGCCCCGUCUUUUAAGCCUGCUAUCUAUAAACUGUGAGGGACAGAGAGCUCAGCAGGGCAUUUUAAAGGCAGGCUAAGCCUCCUUUAGUCUUCUAGUCUUCCUACCCAAGCCUCCCAAGUGCAGGGAUCACAGAGUUGUGCCACUAUUCCUGGUUGAUUAUUUUUCACGUUUUUUGCUUUUCUUUUAAAAGUGUUGGGGCCUGAACAAUAUUGCCACACCAGGCUCUCUGUCUCGCCUACAGGAAUACUUUGACUGACUUAGUUGUUUCUCUUUUUCAUUUAAAUGUUUUACUUAUUGGGUAGGCACAUGGCACAACACACAUGUGGAGGUCAAACAGCUUGGUGGAACCAGUUCUCUCCUUCUACUUCUACAAGGUUUUUAGGCAUCAGACACAAAUCACAGCUUCCUUGGUCAGCAUCCUCACCUGUUGAGGCAUCUCACUAAUCCCUAUUUGCUUACUUUUUGAAUUGAUAAAUUGUUUGAGACAGCCAGGCUGGCUUCUGCCUCUGGAGGGCUGGGCUCGCAGGCAUAUACCAUUAUGCCUUCCUGCCUUUUGUUUUCCAAAACUUAUUUGAUAUCAUUGUAGAAACAUUUUCAAAUUCAGAAAGUCACAAAAAUAAAAGUCAUUUUGAAAAC